GAUGAACGCUGGCGGCGUGCCUAACACAUGCAAGUCGAGCGAUUUACUUCGGUAAAGAGCGGCGGACGGGUGAGUAACGCGUGGGUAACCUGCCCUGUACACACGGAUAACAUACCGAAAGGUAUGCUAAUACGAGAUAAUAUGCUUUUAUCGCAUGGUAGAAGUAUCAAAGCUUUUGCGGUACAGGAUGGACCCGCGUCUGAUUAGCUAGUUGGUAAGGUAACGGCUUACCAAGGCGACGUUCAGUAGCCGACCUGAGAGGGUGAUCGGCCACAUUGGAACUGAGACACGGUCCAAACUCCUACGGGAGGCAGCAGUGGGGAAUAUUGCACAAUGGGCGAAAGCCUGAUGCAGCAACGCCGCGUGAGCGAUGAAGGCCUUCGGGUCGUAAAGCUCUGUCCUCAAGGAAGAUAAUGACGGUACUUGAGGAGGAAGCCCCGGCUAACUACGUGCCAGCCGCCGCCGUAAGAC
rnacentral:rRNA from 1 species